rnacentral:rRNA from 1 species
AUUGAACGCUGGCGGCAGGCCUAACACAUGCAAGUCGAGCGGAUGAAGGGAGCUUGCUCCUGGAUUCAGCGGCGGACGGGUGAGUAAUGCCUAGGAAUCUGCCUGGUAGUGGGGGAUAACGUCCGGAAACGGGCGCUAAUACCGCAUACGUCCUGAGGAAGAAAGUGGGGGAUCUUCGGACCUCACGCUAUCAGAUGAGCCUAGGUCGGAUUAGCUAGUUGGUGGGGUAAAGGCCUACCAAGGCGACGAUCCGUAACUGGUCUGAGAGGAUGAUCAGUCACACUGGAACUGAGACACGGUCCAGACUCCUACGGGAGGCAGCAGUGGGGAAUAUUGGACAAAGGGCGAAAGCCUGAUCCAGCCAUGCCGCGUGUGUGAAGAAGGUCUUCGGAUUGUAAAGCACUUUAAGUUGGGAGGAAGGGCAGUAAGUUAAUACCUUGCUGUUUUGACGUUACCAACAGAAUAAGCACCGGCUAGCUUCGUG